CCCUACGGGAGGCAGCAGUGGGGAAUAUUGGGCAAUGGGCGCAAGCCUGACCAGCAACGCCGCGUGAAGGAAGAAGGCCCUCGGGUUGUAAACUUCUCUUGUCAGGGGCGAAGCAAGUGACGGUACCUGACGAAUAAGCCACGGCUAACUACGUGCCAGCAGCCGCGGUAAUACGUAGGUGGCAAGCGUUAUCCGGAUUUACUGGGUGUAAAGGGCGUGUAGGCGGGGAAGCAAGUCAGAUGUGAAAUUCCAGGGCUCCACCCUGGAACUGCAUUUGAAACUGUUUUUCUUGAGUGAUGGAGAGG
rnacentral:rRNA from 1 species